UACAGAGGUGCCAAGCGUUAGGCGGAAUCACUGGGCUUAAAGCGUGUGUAGGCGGAUCGUUAAGUGUCUUGUGAAAUCCCACGGCUCACCCGUGGAACUGCUGGGCAUACUGGCGAUCUUGGGCCAACUAGGGGCAACUGGAACAAGCGGUGGAGCGGUGAAAUGCGUAGAUAUCGCUUGGAACGCCGAAGGUGAAAACAGGUUGCUGGGGUUGUGCCGACGCUGAGACACGAAAGCCAGGGGAGCAAACGGGAUUAGAA
rnacentral:rRNA from 1 species